GGCGCUGUGCUGGGGCUUGUUUGACAAACCAGCCGAUGCAGUUAGCCAGCGCAA
rnacentral:tRNA from 1 species